rnacentral:rRNA from 1 species
AUUGAACGCUGGCGGCAUGCUUUACACAUGCAAGUCGAACGGUAACAGGCCGCAAGGUGCUGACGAGUGGCGAACGGGUGAGUAAUGCAUCGGAACGUGCCCAGUCGUGGGGGAUAACUACUCGAAAGAGUAGCUAAUACCGCAUACGAUCUAUGGAUGAAAGCGGGGGACCGUAAGGCCUCGCGCGAUUGGAGCGGCCGAUGUCAGAUUAGGUAGUUGGUGGGGUAAAGGCUCACCAAGCCAACGAUCUGUUGCUGGUCUGAGAGGACGACCAGCCACACUGGGACUGAGACACGGCCCAGACUCCUACGGGAGGCAGCAGUGGGGAAUUUUGGACAAUGGGCGCAAGCCUGAUCCAGCAAUGCCGCGUGCAGGAAGAAGGCCUUCGGGUUGUAAACUGCUUUUGUACGGAACGAAACGGCUCUGGUUAAUACCCGGGGCUAAUGACGGUACCGUAAGAAUAAGCACCGGCUAACUACGUG